rnacentral:rRNA from 1 species
UACGUAGGGUGCGAGCGUUAAUCGGAAUUACUGGGCGUAAAGCGUGCGUAGGCGGUUCUCCAAGUCCGUUGUGAAAGCCCCGGGCUCAACCUGGGAAUGGCAGUGGAAACUAGGGGACUGGAAUCUGGCAGAGGGGGGUGGAAUGCCGCGUGUAGCAGUGAAAUGCGUAGAGAUGCGGCGGAACACCGAUGGCGAAGGCAGCCCCCUGGGCUGAGAUUGACGCUCAGGCACGAAAGCGUGGGGAGCGAACAGG